GAGAAAAGAAACAUAUUUUAUUAAAUAUAUAAAAGAUAAAACAGAAAGAGUGCCGAAAACACACUUGUUUACACUUUAAAACGGCAAUAACCUGAAACAGUGAUAAGUGCGCAACGUUUCAUAGUGAUGGAAGUCACGUCCACACACAUACCUGCCGACACUCCCGUUUUCCCCGGGACUCUCCCGUAUUUCACACCUAUCUCCCGCCCACCUCCUGUAUUGUCAUUUCUCCCGGGAAUCUCCCGUAGUUUGCAUGGUCCACGUGCAUUCAUGAAUCGAUCACUACAUUUGUCCAAAGUUGCCUAGUGUCCAGACAACCCAAGAUUGUCCCGUGUUUCUGCUGAGCCUCACAGACACUGUAUUGAUACUUUUACUUUACAAUUUGGGAUGAUUCAGGUCGGUUUAAACUGUAAACUAUACUUAAGCAUUAUUUGUUGCAAAAUGAACACUUUUAUGUCAGGGAAACAAACAUGAGGUAUAAUAUUUACGUUGAUAGUCUUGCGCCGUCUCGGAGUGAUGCGUUCAGGUAAGCCUUAGAUAAAAGAGUGUUGUAAUGCACGCACAGAUGUUCAGAGAGCAUGUAAAACAUAUGAGGACUUUAACACCAAAAUUAGUGGACUAAAUUAGUUCAAGACAUGUUGAUUGAUUGAUUGAUUGAUUGAUUGAUUGAUUGAUUGACUGAUUGAAGUUUAUUUCAAUUAUCCAAAUCAAAAAUAUAAAAAAAUAAAACAAGGAAAGUAAGGCAAAACAUUUAAACAUAAAACACAGAUAUAUUAAUUUUUUAUUACCAUUUGUUAUACAAAAGUGUGCAGCUUCACUUAUACUUGUUUGGAUAAGCAAUCUAAUCACAAAUACUCUCAUAAUUCGCUCAUAUCCUCCAUACAAGGUAACCUCAAAAGUGCCCGGCGCAUGCCGCAACAAUCUCCCGGAUUUUAUAACCCAAAUGUUGGCAGGUGUGGUUCACACACACACACACACACAUACAUGCCCAUAAACUCCCGAUAAAGUUUUGAACUCU